rnacentral:rRNA from 1 species
UACGUAGGGUGCGAGCGUUGUCCGGAAUUAUUGGGCGUAAAGAGCGUGUAGGCGGUUUGGUAGGUCCGCUGUGAAAACUCGAGGCUCAACCUCGAGACGCCGGUGGAAACCAUCAGACUAGAGUCCGGAAGAGGAGAGUGGAAUUCCUGGUGUAGCGGUGAAAUGCGCAGAUAUCAGGAAGAACACCAGUGGCGAAGGCGGCUCACUGGCCCGAUACUGACGCUGAGGCACGAAAGCGUGGGGAGCAAACAGG